AAAAAUACAAUCGUGUAUUUGCCGAAUUGAGCCGGCAAACCCACAUUGCAAUGAUGGUUCUGAUGGAGAUGGGCCGAGAUCUAGCCAACUUCAGCAUUCCUGGCAAAUUCUGCACAUGCAAUAGUUUUAGAAGAGAAUGGUGUGAAUUGGGUAUCAUUGCAUCGAAAUUGGGAAAAUUUUGGAUUGACUAUUACUCCGGUAAUUCCUCAGUGAUCUCAUCCGCAUGUGGCAGUACCUCUCCGAUCCCCGGAAGACAGAUACAGUGUUGCUACCAGCUAAAGCUAACAGGCGCUCGUACAACCGAUGCAGCUUCUACUGCUGCUCCAGCCACAGAACUGUUCAAUUGUGAGGAUGAUGACAUGCCACCAGUGUAUCCUAUCAGAGAAUUGAUAGACGCAGAAAAUUGGAAGCGGUAACGAGGUUUGAGAGGUAAGUCGUGGAUCGCCUAUCUAUAUCCCGCCAGUUUCGAAACCACUUCAACGUCUACCUCUACUUCCGGGAGGAAUGUCUACUAAUAAUACAGUUUGGAGGAAAUAAUAUUGUGGAUUCUAACUUAAAGGUACAGACUGGACAGACUAGCAAUCCGGUAUCUAUAACAUUAGCACCACCAAUACAAGCACAAAUUUGCUGUACUAUUGUGGGGCCGAUUUAACUUCAGCUUAUACAAUUAUCGGAAACAAUUACCCAAUGAACAAAUAGAGGAAAGAAGGGCGAGUAAAUGAAUUUACUGAGUGACAGAUGCUCUGAACUAUUCCCACGCAAAGUCAUUCAUCGCGUCCUGAGACCGGAUAACAUUCUAUUGACGGACAAUAAAAUCGUGAAAUUGUCGAUUUGAGGUGGUUCGCUCUUUCACUAAUCGCAAAAAAUGAAUGUGCUGGGCUACAUGCCACCGGAGAUGGCCGUUGGGGGGAUAUACAAUGACUCCGUGAAUCAGUCACUGAGCUAUUUUGGAAGGAAACAUUUCGACAUUCGUAUAAAAUAUCAUAAUUUGCCUUCACCGGAGUUCCUUCCAGCUGUGGACGCCGAGUGUGGAUGUCGUCGUUUGCACAUCGUUUACAAAGUGUAACUUGGAUUCUGAUUCUUCCUGCGGCACGGACUAAUGUAAAGCAGGAGCGGGACUAAUAAAUCCUGUCCCCUAUAUAUGGAACGAAGCUCUGUCCACCACAUAUUUUUGUUCAACAACACGAGGUUCUAGAGCCUAUCGUGCGAGAACAUGUAAAGCUGAGUUUGUUAUAGCUAUAUGUUGCCAUACACUUUAUGGAACUGAUGCUGAUGGCUAUGGAGGAGAAAUAUGUCAUUACUGGAAGGCGAAGGUUUGCUGACCAAUGGACCGACCAUUGAAGGACAACCAAGUAUCGUGUAUUCUAUGUAUCUAGGGUUUCAUCGGUUUUCCACCGCUCGAAUCAGAACAAUAGAUUAUAAUUGAGCCGCUGUUUAGAUGGAAAAGAGUAGAGAUAUACCAUUUUGAAAAUUAACAUGUUGAUUUAUUUCAGUAUUUGGAGCGACAUCAUCGACAUCAGAGUGCACCCGUGGCCGAGUGGUUAGCGUCUCACAUUGUCAUGCCGGGUGUUCGGGUUCGAUUCCCGUUCUGGCCGGAGGAUUUUUCGUCAAAGAAAUUUCCUUCGACUUGCACUGUGGUCACGCGUAUUCAAGAGCUUGUCCCUCGGAAUACAUUCAAGGCGUGUUAUUUGGCUUAAGAAAUCUCAACUAAGUAUUAAUAAAUGACGCUAAUUAAUGCAUACGUUGAGACGGCAAAAGUUCCACAGGGAACGUUAACGCCAUUCAAGAAGAAGAAGAAGCGACAUCUGAAUAAUUAUACUUACAAAUAAAUACAUCGAUCGUGAAAAAACUGAAUAAACAAUGUUUAUCAAAGUUAUAUUUUUACUACUUUUGUUCUAUACUUUUUUUAAUUAUCUUUUUUAUAAAUAAAUUUAUAAAAUAAAUUUU